UCUCCGUAGGUGAACCUGCGGAGGGAUCAUUACAGAGUUCAUGCCCUACCGGGUAGAUCUCCCACCCUAUGUUAUUAUUACUUUGUUGCUUUGGCGGGCCGUUAGGCUCCGGCCCGACUACCGGCCCCGGCUGGUAAGCGCCCACCAGAGGACCCAAAACCCUGAAUAUUAGUGUCGUCUGAGUACUAUAUAAUAGUUAAAACUUUCAACAACGGAUCUCUUGGUUCUG
rnacentral:misc_RNA from 1 species